rnacentral:rRNA from 1 species
CCUUACUGCUAUCGGGGUGAGACUAAGCCAUGCAAGUUGCGCGCUUCUAAGCUAUGGUAGUGGAGCAGCGUAAGGCUCAGUAAAACAUGGUUAACUUGCCCUCGAGACGGGAAUACCCCCGGGAAACUGGGGAUAAAUCCCGAUAGGCGAGAUGGCUUGGAAUUAUAUCUCGUCUAAAAAACGUUAAGACCAUGCUUCUUUUCGUUGCUCGAGGAUAGGACCAUGUCCGAUCAGGCUGUUGGCGAGGUAACGGCUCACCAAACCUAUAACCGGUACGGGCCGUGAGAGCGGGAGCCCGGAGAUGGAUCCUGAGACAAGGAUCCAGGCCCUACGGGGCGCAGCAGGCGCGAAAACUCCGCAAUGCGCGAAAGCGUGACGGGGUCACCCCGAGUGUCACCUGCUGAAGGUAACUUUUCCUCAGUCUAAUCAGCUGAGGGUAAUAAGGGGAGGGCAAGUCUGGUGUCAGCCGCCGCGGUAAUACCAGCUCCCCGAGUGGUGAGGACGAUUAUUGGGCCUAAAGCGUCCGUAGCUGGCUUGAUAAGUUUCCCGUUAAAUCCGCCGAUCCAAUCGUCGGGCUGCGGGAAAUACUGUUAAGCUAGGAGGCGGGAGAGGCCGGCGGUACUUUUGGGGUAGGGGUGAAAUCCUAUAAUCCCAAGAGGACCACCAGUGGCGAAGGCGACCGGCCAGAACGCACUCGACGGUGAGGGACGAAAGCUGGGGGAGCAAACCGGAUUAGAUACCCGGGUAGUCCCAGCUGUAAACGAUGCGGGCUAAGUGUCGGGAUGGCCAUAGAGCCAUCUCGGUGCUGCAGGGAAGCCGUUAAGCCCGCCGCCUGGGGAGUACGGCCGCAAGGUUGAAACUUAAAGGAAUUGGCGGGGGAGCACCACAAGGGGUGAAGCUUGCGGUUC